CACGUAGGAGGCAAACGUUAUCCGGAUUUACUGGGCGUAAAGCGCGUGUAGGUGGUUCUGUAAGUAGGGCGUGAAAGCUCCCGGCUCAACUGGGAGAGGCCGUUCUAAACUGCAGAGCUAGAGGAUGGUAGAGGGAGGUGGAAUUCCAGGUGUAGCGGUGAAAUGCGUAGAUAUCGGGAGGAACACCGGUGGCGAAGGCGGCUUUCUGGCCAGUUACUGACGCUCAUGCGCGAAAGCUGGGGUAGCGAACCGGAUUAGAUACCCCGGUAGUCCCUGAGCGGG
rnacentral:rRNA from 1 species